rnacentral:rRNA from 1 species
GCCACAGCACCGCAUGGUGCAGGGGUAAAAACUCCGGUGGUGUGAGAUGGGCCCGCGUCUGAUUAGGUAGUUGGUGAGGUAACGGCUCACCAAGCCGACGAUCAGUAGCCGACCUGAGAGGGUGACCGGCCACAUUGGGACUGAGACACGGCCCAAACUCCUACGGGAGGCAGCAGUGGGGAAUAUUGCACAAUGGGGGAAACCCUGAUGCAGCGACGCCGCGUGAGCGAUGAAGUAUUUCGGUAUGUAAAGCUCUAUCAGCAGGGAAGAAACUGACGGUACCUGACUAAGAAGCACCGGCUAAAUACGUGCCAGCAGCCGCGGUAAUACGUAUGGUGCAAGCGUUAUCCGGAUUUACUGGGUGUAAAGGGAGCGUAGACGGACUUGCAAGUCUGAAGUGAAAGCCCGGGGCUCAACCCCGGGACUGCUUUGGAAACUGUAGGUCUAGAGUGCUGGAGAGGUAAGUGGAAUUCCUAGUGUAGCGGUGAAAUGCGUAGAUAUUAGGAGGAACACCAGUGGCGAAGGCGACUUUCUGGACAGUAACUGACGUUGAGGCACGAAAGUGUGGGGAGCAAACAGGAUUAGAUACCCUGGUAGUCCACACCGUAAACGAUGGAUACUAGGUGUAGGGGAUAUUAAGUCUUCUGUGCCGUCGCAAACGCAGUAA